GUCUAUAGCCAUGCCACUCUGAACGUGCCCAGUCUCGACUGAUUUCAGAAGCUAAGCAGUGUCGGGCCUGAUUAGUACUUGGAUGGGAGAGAACCUGGUAAUACCAGGUGCUGUAGGCA
rnacentral:rRNA from 1 species